AACGAACGCUGGCGGCAUGCCUAACACAUGCAAGUCGAACGAGACCUUCGGGUCUAGUGGCGCACGGGUGCGUAACGCGUGGGAACCUGCCCUUAGGUUCGGAAUAACUCCCCGAAAGGGGUGCUAAUACCGGAUAAUGUCUUCGGACCAAAGAUUUAUCGCCUUUGGAUGGGCCCGCGUUGGAUUAGCUAGUUGGUAGGGUAAAAGCCUACCAAGGCGACGAUCCAUAGCUGGUCUGAGAGGAUGAUCAGCCACACUGGGACGGAGACACGGCCCAGACUCCUACGGGAGGCAGCAGUGGGGAAUAUUGGACAAUGGGCGAAAGCCUGAUCCAGCAAUGCCGCGUGAGUGAUGAAGGCCUUAGGGUUGUAAAGCUCUUUUACCCGGGAUUAUAAUGACAGUACCGGGAGAAUAAGCUCCGGCUAACUCCGUG
rnacentral:rRNA from 1 species